rnacentral:lncRNA from 10 species
AAUCUGCCUCUAUCCAUGGCAGCCCUUCUUAUUUUAAUGUUCUCACUCUUACCCACAAACUAAAUUUACAUUUCUUGCUGUUAUAAAUUUUAUAUUUUUGUGUGUGGAGAAACAUUCCAUCAAGAAGACUGAAGCCCAGUAAACUCCCAAAGACAAGACUUUCAGAAGGCUGCUUGCUUCACUAUGGGUCCUAAGGUUACACAGGAAGGCUUCUGCCAGACACUUUCUGCCAGGUUUCCAAUGGCAGGUAUGGUCAAGAGAGACACUGGAAGAUGGAAGUUACUUCAGUGUUCCAGUUGCUGGUGUAGCCAGGGCUUCACAGAAUUUGUCACAGGUGGUUUCCUUUGACCCUUGAAACACUUCCAGGACCCAGUUUUUAUCUUAUAGCGUGGAAGUAUGGCAUCAUGAUGUCUACUGCACAUCUAUUCCCAACCCCAUAUUCAGUUGUUUCAUGUAGUCUCUUGAAAUCUAUGGAAACUAGAAAACACUACAAAUAAAGCCUUGAUUUAUUGUUUUGUUGAUUGUCUUGACUUAAGAAACUGAUAGACAAUGUGUUAUUAAUGCAGAUUAAACUUAAAAAUGUUUACCUCAGUGGCCGUUAUACUGUGAAUACCACAAAAACUGAGCAAAUAUUUUUCUAGUAUUUGAAAAGUAUUAUCCAAUUCAGCAAAUAAUGUCACUUUUAAGUGAAUAAAGUAUGGGCAUGCCUUCAUUGCUUUAGUUUCUUGUUACUUGUAAACACACACAAGUAUAGCAACCUAACAUUUAUGCUUAAACUAUACUCAGUAGUCAAUUACAAUCAUAGAUUAGCUUUGGCCAUAAGAGAUCAGCAAAAAUCAACAAAGCAUAUCAAUUGGCUAUAUGAAAUUUUCAAUGUGCAUUGUAUGUUUUGUUAUUAUUUUAAAAUUGUGUUAUAUUUUUUAACUUUAAAACUUACAACACAAAUAUGUAAGUAUAUGUGUAUAUACACAUGCAUACACACACUCACAAUUGAGGGUUUUUGGCGUAGAAGGAGACAAACCAGAGGUUAAACAUUUGCCAGCACAUCACUGCUGAUAACUAAGCUGCUACUGUAUAACAAAUACCUGUUGAGGAAUAUGUGUCCCACACACUGCCCAUUUAUUUUGAUUUGGAAUAGUGAAUUCUUUAUGUCACAAAAGCCUUCAUAUUAUAGAGGUUUCUAGGUGAAAACAUAUUUUUUAAAGUGCCUAUCAUUGAUGGUAAGAUUGGAGACCCUUUUUAGAUACCCUUAAAUCAGAUCUGAUAAAAUUUGACUAUCCA